rnacentral:lncRNA from 13 species
GACCUUUUGGGGGCUUGAGCGUGUGCGAAUGUGUUUGUCCGUUAAUAUAAACGUUUUUGAAACCGUCAAUUGCGUGACGAUCGGCAAUAAAGGCUUCGUUCGUAAAUUCAUUGUCAAUACUGAAAAUCUAAUAAUUAUCAAAUAGUAUACAUAACGUGAACUAUAGAUUUUUAGUAUUAGCAGUGAAUUUACGAACACAGCCUAAUUGGAGUUAACAGAAAUCGUUUUCCAUGUGCUUAAAUUUUGCACGUACACUUUUUAUAUUUGCAAUAUAAAAAUGGAAAUAAUAUCUGGGAAAAGAAAGGGCAGUUAUUUGUAUGUAUA